GAUAAUCACCCUGAUCUGACAGAUGAGAGGACAACGUGGAGAGGAAGGAGGACUUGUGGGGCCACCAUUCGAUGCUCAUACCUGAAAGUCCAGGCAGUAAUACGGCUCAGAUGAUGUGGGCAGCCUGGAGAAAGGAGAGUGGAGGUUCCUAAACAAGCCAAAGGACUGGACAUCUGAUCAAGAGAGAGGGAGAGUGGUGGCGAUGAGAAGGCAGGACAAGAGGUUAAGUUGACUGAAACACAGACUUAUAAAACUCAUUCAUUUGUCCCUGUCAUACAUAGACUUAUCUGGAAGAAGAGUAUUCAAAACAACUGCUGGAAGAUACAUUGUAACCCCAAUGUCCUACCAUCUUNNNNNNNNNNNNNNNNNNNNNNNNNNNNNNNNNNNNNNNNNNNNNNNNNNNNNNNNNNNNNNNNNNNNNNNNNNNNNNNNNNNNNNNNNNNNNNNNNNNUCAAAACAACUGCUGGAAGAUACAUUGUAACCCCAAUGUCCUACCAUCUUCUAGCACAAGAGGGUACAGCAUUCUCACCUUGGCAGGUGGUAAUCCACCCAUCCAUCCAUCCAUUCAUAUGUCCUCCUUAUCUCCCUUACUGUUAUCUUUCUCCUCAUCUUUCCACCCACCCACCUAUCCAUCCACCUAAUGUUCCCCUCUCCCUUCCUUGUAUCCAUUCAUCCUCCAUCCAUAUUUAUAGUUUUCUUUUUCUUUCCUUCUCCCAUUCUGUUAUCUCUAUGUCAUCUGUACACACCUCUCCACCAUUCAUCUUCCCACACAAUAGUAAGAGACCCUUCUUUCCUUCCAUUCAUCCACUCAUCCUCCUGUCCACACAUGAACCCUUUCGCCCAUUCAUCCUUCUACCCAACCAUCCUCUCUUCCUUCUUUCAUUAUUUUAUCCAUUUUCUUUCCAUCCAUUCAUCCAUCUAUCCCUCCAUCAUCUUUCAUCUUUCCAGUUUCUCUUAUAUCCAUCAAUUAUUUUAUCUCUCUUUCCUUCUAUUUCCUUUUCAUCUAUUCAUCUAUCCACUUAUAUUCCCCUUUUUCCAUUUUCCCUCCAUCAUAUUCUGUCCACAUUUCCUUAUAUGUAUCUGUCCACCGAUCCAUCCAUCGCUCCACUUAUUCUUCCAUACAUGUUUCUGCUUUUGUCCUUUGCUCCAUUCAUCAAUGUUCUUCCCUUUCAUUUCCAGUUCAUGUUCCAACAAAGUGUCAAUAAAUAUAGAGUGCCUCCUCUGUGCCUAACUAGGAACUAUGAAACAACACCAGAAAGAAUAUAAUGCAGAGGUCCCUGAUCUCAGGGCUCUACUGUUCUCGUGGAAGCAAAGAAGCAGACAAUUACUAAACAGUCUGGCACAAGUGAUGGGUAGGUGAGCGUGGGAGUCCUGAGGAGGGAGUCAUUCUACCUGGGGAACAAAGCAUCGGAGUCACACCUUGAAGGGCUGCAGGAAUUUUCCAGGUGUAGAAGAAGGGCGUGGGAAGUCACUGGGAGCAAAGCUGUAACAUCUCAAAAGGGCAUGGAGUGUAUGGGAUGGCUGAGAUCUAUAGGCUGAAGCAGCCUGAGGGGCACAGAGGAGAAUAAGGAAAGACCUGACUCCCAGCCUGGGGGGUUUGAACUUGAUCCUCCUACGGAAGACUCUGAGCAGAGAGGUGUGAUUCAGAAAAACCUCUCUGGAAGCCACGAAAGGGAGAAAACAGGAGUGGGUAAGUGGCUACUGCGAUAGUCGAAGCCAGAGAGCAGGUCUCAGGCCCAUAACACAACUUACGUUUUAGGAAGCUCAACUGUUGAUUGAUGAUGUGCAUCCAGAAUAGGACCACUGGGCACAGCUGAAAUACACAUGAGCAGAGGCCUGUGUGGCAGGACACUUGGGCCUCCUUCCAGCCCAGCACAGCCCAGCCUCUGACUGGUUGUGUAGAAGUGAGUGGUUCUAGCAGAGUUUUUAUAAACACAAAACUAAUCUUCCUCUUCUGCAGGUGUCAACUGCUUAGCACACAUCAAUCUUAGAGUAAAUGUCCCUUCCCCCACCACAGGGGCCUGGACAAAGGGCAGGACAACAAAGCCUGGAGAGGCUGGGAAGUCUGAAGAUAAAACUGCCUGCCCUGGCUGCCUCUCUGUGCCUCCAGCUGCAAAGCCUCUCCAGGGAAUCUCUAGGGUCUGCCCGGGGCCCACUUGGGCAAACUCACCAUAUUGGGUAGAUGGCUGGGCAGGAUCUGUCUGAGCAUGACUUCUAUGACAGCAGAGAGCUGGCUGGGGAGGGGAACAGGGCAUUUGAAAUAACAGCAGUUAUAGCUUGCUGGUUACAAAUGUUUCCUCCACUCCAGGGACUUGGAGUACUUGUAAUAUGAGUACUUAACAUAUAAGUAAUAUAAGUACUUGGCAUAUAUUAACUCAGUUUUGUUGUUGUUCAGUCACUCAGUCCUGUCCAACUCUUUCGAUCCCAGGGACAGCAGCACACCAGGUUCCACCGUCCUCCACUAUCUCUCAGAGUUUGCUUAAACUCAUGUCCAUUGAGUCAGUGAUGCCAUCUAACAACCUCAGCCUUUGUCAUCCCCCUUCUCCUUUUGCCUUCAAUCUUUCCCAGCAUCAGGGUCUUUUCUA
rnacentral:lncRNA from 1 species